rnacentral:rRNA from 1 species
AACGAACGCUGGCGGCAUGCCUAACACAUGCAAGUCGAACGAGACCUUCGGGUCUAGUGGCGCACGGGUGCGUAACGCGUGGGAACCUGCCCUUAGGUUCGGAAUAACUCCCCGAAAGGGGUGCUAAUACCGGAUAAUGUCUUCGGACCAAAGAUUUAUCGCCUUUGGAUGGGCCCGCGUUGGAUUAGCUAGUUGGUAGGGUAAAAGCCUACCAAGGCGACGAUCCAUAGCUGGUCUGAGAGGAUGAUCAGCCACACUGGGACUGGGACACGGCCCAGACUCCUACGGGAGGCAGCAGUGGGGAAUAUUGGACAAUGGGCGAAAGCCUGAUCCAGCAAUGCCGCGUGAGUGAUGAAGGCCUUAGGGUUGUAAAGCUCUUUUACCCGGGAUGAUAAUGACAGUACCGAGAGAAUAAGCUCCGGCUAACUCCGUG